CACUAAGAAUGCAUAUAAAAAGUUUUAUUUAUAAGUUGUUUUCUCUUUACAAAUAUAUUGUUUGGAUGAGAAAGCCAAACAAUCACCCCAUACAUAAUCAUAGGUUCGGUGCAUGAUUACUUAGCUACAGCCUGUCUAAACAAGGUUCAGUGUGAUAAAUGUGAUGUAGGACUGACCGAAACAAGAAGAAUCAAACCUUGAUGCAUGUGGCAGUUCAAAGGCCAGGAAUGCUUGGUCACUUUUACCAUGAGGUAGGAAUAUCCAGAUAAUAUCACAGCAUCUUAUUGGAAAGUGACAAAGCACACGCGGGGAACAAAGAGAUCUACUGAUUUCCUUCAUCCUAUUGGAACAAGGUCAAUUGAAUUUGGGUAAACAAAUAUAAUGAAUUAUGAAGGAGCCAGGUUGUGUUGCUUAACCUCAGUUUCCUGCUAAGUGACAACCAACUAACAGGACAAACAUUCCGAAUCAAGCUUCCUAGCGUGCUCAUUAGUCAUGACAGCUGGAUGAUAUAUACUAAGUAUUUGGGAAAUGCAUUUAUACUCCCUCAAACUAUUUCACAUAAGUAUUUAGAGCUUUUUUAUUAUCCUUGAAAAAGUACCUCAAGUUAUCAUACUUUUAAUGUAAAAAGUAUGGCACUUUGAGGUAUACUGUACCUUGAGGUACUAAAAAUUUAUACCUUGAGAUACUUUUCAAGGAUGAUAAAAAAACCCCAAGUAUUUAACUCCUAAACUAUUUUUUUGCUCGCUCUAACUCGGAGAAGUGCUAAACCAGGCUCAAUUUGUUCCCAGGUUAGAAAAGACAGCAUAAUCUCAUGCAACUCCUUGGAUUGGAUCAAAACUAAAUUUCAGAACGAGCUGCUUUUAUACCGACCAGGCUACCAUCUGAGCUCGGCGAAAUUUGAUCAGACACAUAUAUCCAAGGAAUUCAGAGUGAGUGACUUUGUAAAUGCUAUUAUCAUAGUUUUAAUCUUCUAUAAUCUCUGUCUGGAAAGUCUAUUAUCUGGUAUCACGAUACUUGUUCUUCACAAAGAGGACACAUUUGAUAUUUUGAAGAACUGCUUAUAGGCAUAUGUAGUGUACUAAUGUGCCUCUCUAGACAUUGAGCAAACUUACUAUCCUUGAGAAGGUUACUCAAAAUCUCAUAUUUCUAGUGUAAAAUUUCGGUAUAUUAACAAAAUUUUACCCUAAAAUAUUGACAUCUCAAAGUUCCUUUUCGAGGAUAGCAGAAUUUCCCAAAAAAACAUUAUGUUUUCCGUCAGCUCAAAACAGCCAAUUACCUAGAUCUUGAAAAUCACAACAACUAAUCGGUAAUCACUGCAAGGAAUAUGCACGCAUCGAUCUUCCGUAUCGAUUUGUAAGACCACAACAAGAGGGGAUUUUGACCUCAAAAAAACAACAAGAGGGGAUUUUGUGUACUGACCUCGUUGGCCGUGAAUAACGCCGGACGGCGCCGAGGUAGGAGGUGGGCGGCUGGCGCCCAAGCGGCGGCCUUCCUUAGGGGUUGGCUAGGGAAGCGGCGCAAGUAUAUCACUCGCCGCACACUGGGAUUCUGGCUCCAGCCGCCGUGACCCGAACAGCAGAUAUCGCACGUUCGGAA
rnacentral:lncRNA from 1 species